rnacentral:rRNA from 1 species
GAGUAAUACUUAGGAAUCUACCUAGUAGUGGGGGAUAGCUCGGGGAAACUCGAAUUAAUACCGCAUACGUCCUACGGGAGAAAGCAGGGGAUCAUUAGACCUUGCGCUAUUAGAUGAGCCUAAGUCGGAUUAGCUAGAUGGUGGGGUAAAGGCCUACCAUGGCGACGAUCUGUAGCUGGUCUGAGAGGAUGAUCAGCCACACCGGGACUGAGACACGGCCCGGACUCCUACGGGAGGCAGCAGUGGGGAAUAUUGGACAAUGGGGGGAACCCUGAUCCAGCCAUGCCGCGUGUGUGAAGAAGGCCUUUUGGUUGUAAAGCACUUUAAGCAGUGAAGAAGACUCUUCGGUUAAUACCCGGGGACGAUGACAUUAGCUGCAGAAUAAGCACCGGCUAACUCUGUGCCAGCAGCCGCGGUAAUACAGAGGGUGCAAGCGUUAAUCGGAAUUACUGGGCGUAAAGCGAGCGUAGGUGGCUUGANNAGUCAGAUGUGAAAUCCCCGGGCUUAACCUGGGAACUGCAUCUGAAACUGUUAGGCUAGANNANGUGAGAGGGAAGUAGAAUUUCAGGUGUA